AGAGUGAACGCUGGCGGCAGGCCUAAUACAUGCAAGUCGAACGGCAGCACAGCAGAGCUUGCUCUGUGGGUGGCGAGUGGCGGACGGGUGAGGAAUACAUGGGAAUCUGCCCAGUCGUGGGGGAUAACGUAGGGAAACUUACGCUAAUACCGCAUGCGCCCGUUCGGGGGAAAGCCGGGGACCUUCGGGCCUGGCGCGAUUGGAUGAGCCCAUGUCGGAUUAGCUAGUUGGACGGGUAAAGCCCACAAGGCGACGAUCCGUAGCUGGUCUGGAGAGGAUGAUCAGCCACACUGGAACUGAAGACACGGUCCAGACUCCGUAGGGAGGCAGCAAGGUAGGGAAUAGUUGGACAAGUGGGCGCAAGCCUGAUCCAGCCAUCGCGCGUGUGUGAAGAGGUCC
rnacentral:rRNA from 1 species